rnacentral:rRNA from 1 species
UUACAAUGGAGAGUUUGAUCCUGGCUCAGGAUGAACGCUAGCGGCAGGCCUAAUACAUGCAAGUCGAACGGUAGACAUCUUUCGGGAUGUUGAGAGUGGCGCACGGGUGCGUAACACGUAUGCAACCUACCUUUUACAGGGGGAUAGCCCGGAGAAAUUCGGAUUAAUACCCCAUGGCACUAUUGAAUGGCAUCAUGAGAUAGUUAAAGAUUUAUCGGUAAGAGAUGGGCAUGCGUCUGAUUAGCUAGUUGGCGGUGUAACGGACCACCAAGGCGACGAUCAGUAGGGGUUCUGAGAGGAAGGUCCCCCACA